UACGUAGGGUGCAAGCGUUGUCCGGAAUUACUGGGCGUAAAGAGCUCGUAGGCGGUUUGUCGCGUCUGCUGUGAAAACUCAGGGCUUAACCCUGAGCUUGCAGUGGGUACGGGCAGACUAGAGUGCGGUAGGGGAGAUUGGAAUUCCUGGUGUAGCGGUGGAAUGCGCAGAUAUCAGGAGGAACACCGGUGGCGAAGGCGGCGUUCUGGACUGUUACUGACACUGAGGAACGAAAGCCAGGGGAGCAAACGGG
rnacentral:rRNA from 1 species